rnacentral:tRNA from 1 species
AGAGGAGCUCGCAUAGCAUAUGGAGACUGCUAAUCUUCAUCCCCUUGGUUGAACCCC